rnacentral:rRNA from 1 species
CUAGAGAUAGAUUGGUGCCUUCGGGAACAUUGAGACAGGUGCUGCAUGGCUGUCGUCAGCUCGUGCCGUGAGAUGUUGGGUUAAGUCCCGUAACGAGCGCAACCCUUGUCCUUAGUUACCAGCACGUAAUGGUGGGCACUCUAAGGAGACUGCCGGUGACAAACCGGAGGAAGGUGGGGAUGACGUCAAGUCAUCAUGGCCCUUACGGCCUGGGCUACACACGUGCUACAAUGGUCGGUACAGAGGGUUGCCAAGCCGCGAGGUGGAGCUAAUCCCACAAAACCGAUCGUAGUCCGGAUCGCAGUCUGCAACUCGACUGCGUGAAGUCGGAAUCGCUAGUAAUCGCGAAU